UACGUAGGGUGCGAGCGUUAAUCGGAAUUACUGGGCGUAAAGCGCGUGUAGGCGGAUGAGCAAGUCUGCUGUGAAAGCUCCUGGCUUAACCGGGAGUGGUCGGUGGAAACUGCUCGUCUGGAGGACGGUAGAGGUAGGUAGAAUUCCCGGUGUAGUGGUGAAAUGCGUAGAGAUCGGGAGGAAUACCUGUGGCGAAGGCGGCUCACUGGCCCGGUACUGACGCUGAGGUGCGAAAGCGUGGGGAGCAAACAGG
rnacentral:rRNA from 1 species